AUCCAUGCCUGACUUUACACCUCUAUCAUUCCCAUGCAUGGGUCCCUUCCUCCACCUCUGUUGCUCUCUCUCUUUUUAACACAAUAGAAACAAGAGAUAGCGAGAAAGAGAUGUGAGAUUGAAGCAAAGGAAGAAGAACACAAUUGUGACAAAAAUAGGGCUUUUCUAUUUGACUUUUUUUUUUUUUUUUUCACUUUCAUUUCAUUCCAAAGAGUGGAAUAAAAAGACACUUGUGCUUUUCCCUUCCAUUGAGUAUGUGAUCUCAAUAUCAUUGCUGCAUCGAUUUCCCAUUUAUGG